rnacentral:rRNA from 1 species
CCUACGGGCGGCAGCAGUGGGGGAUAUUGGACAAUGGGGGGAACCCUGAUCCAGCGACGCCGCGUGAGUGAAGAAGUAUUUCGGUAUGUAAAGCUCUGUCAGCAGGGAAGAAAGAAAUGACGGUACCUGACCAAGAAGCCCCGGCUAACUACGUGCCAGCAGCCGAGGUAAUACGUAGGGGGCAAGCGUUAUCCGGAAUUACUGGGUGUAAAGGGAGCGUAGAAGGUUAAGUAAGUCUGGAGUGAAAGGCCGGGGCCCAACCCCGGGACUGCUCUGGAAACUAUUGAACUUGAGUGCAGGGGAGGUAAGCGGAAUUCCUAGUGUAGCGGUGAAAUGCGUAGAUAUUAGGAGGAACACCAGUGGCGAAGGCGGCUUACUGGACUGUAACUGACGUUGAGGCUCGAAAGCGUGGGGAGCAAACAGGAUUAGAUACCCUUGUAGUC